GAUGAACGCUGGCGGCGUGCCUAAUACAUGCAAGUCGAACGCAUUGUGGUUGAAAUGAUAUGAAGAACUUGUUCAGAUUUGAUUUUCAACAUUGCAAUGAGUGGCGAACGGGUGAGUAACACGUGGGAAACCUACCUCUUAGCAGGGGAUAACAUUUGGAAACAAAUGCUAAUACCGUAUAAUAAUUAAAACCGCAUGGUUUUAGUUUAAAAGAUGGUCUUGCUAUCACUAAGAGAUGGUCCCGCGGUGUAUUAGUUAGUUGGUGAGGUAAUGGCUCACCAAGACAAUGAUACAUAGCCGAGUUGAGAGACUGACCGGCCACAAUGGGACUGAGACACGGCCCAUACUCCUACGGGAGGCAGCAGUAGGGAAUCUUCCACAAUGGACGAAAGUCUGAUGGAGCAACGCCGCGUGUGUGAUGAAGGGUUUCGGCUCGUAAAACACUGUUGUAAGAGAAGAAUGACAUUGAGAGUAACUGUUCAAUGUGUGACGGUA
rnacentral:rRNA from 1 species